ensembl:snRNA U6atac minor spliceosomal RNA
GUGUUGUAUGAAAGGAGAGAAGGUUAGCACUCCCCUUGACAAGGAUGGAAGAGGCUCUCGGGCCUGACAACAUGCAUACGGUUAGGGCAUUGCCACCUCCUUCGUGGCAUCUAACCACUGUUUUUA